rnacentral:tRNA from 1 species
GCUGGAGCUCAGUUGGUAGAGCACUUGCUUAGCAUGCACAAGGCCCUGAGUUCAAUCCCCAGCAUCA